AGCACCAACAUCACCUGGAUUCAACAUGCUCUCACUGCAUCAGGCUCUAUCUUCUCUACUGCUUCUCUCCACUCUAACAGCAAUCAGCUGUGAAGAACUCACACCGGUCCACAAUGAAGAGUUCAGUGCAGAAGGCAGCUCUGUUACUCUGUCCUAUAACUCCUCCAAAGUGAACCCAGCGGAUUAUUUAUUCUGGUAUCGACAGAAUCCAGGACAAGCACCAGAGUUCCUCCUCUCACACUCUGCUUCAGGACAAGAAGCUGCUCCAACCUCUGGACUGAAGAUCCAAGUGGAGCAGAACCAAAUCCACAUGAUCAUCUCCUCUGCUGCAGUGACAGACUCUGCUGUGUACUACUGUGCUGUGAAGCCCACAGUGACAGGAAACUACACAACUCUGUACAAAAACCUGUGGAGCAAACACACAACUCCUCAUCCUCCACUAGAGGGAGUCACUCACUGUUAAACCUCAGUGUUUCUUAUGAUCCAGUCCAGAUUCUUUGUUGUGAUGAUUAAACAGACGAAUGACCAGCAGAUUAUUUUCUAUAUAAAAUAACAGAGAGUCUCAAAGAUGACGAGAUGCUGAGUCAUGUUCACUGUGUCAUGUGUUGUUAUACUUGAGGCAUCGACCUAUAUUGUCCCGUCUCUGCUGUUUUAUCUUUAAAGUUGAAACUGGUUCAAAACCACAAUUGGACAAAUCACAAGACGUAUAAUACUGAACUCUAC